GUUAUCUUCUACUUGGAUUUAAUAACAGUAAAAUUUGGGAGUUAAGUAAACAAUGAGGGAUGGUGUUACCCAAACGUUCAAUAUGAAAGAUACUAAUCUCCUAUAUGGAGAAAGUUACUGGUGUUAAGGCCUAGGAACGUAAUUGUAGUUAAUCCAUAGUUUAAUUGCAGUUAAAUAAACUGAAGCUUAAUCAUACUUUGAUUAACCGUGAGCUGAACUGCUGAUACUCUGCCUUGUGCAGUGUCACACAUUUCUACCAAGGAAAAGAUAUGCUACCAUUCCAUUCUGGUACCUGGCAGUAUCUAGUCCUUGUCUUUUUUUCAAGUCACUCUUAAAGGAAAAAAGCAUCCUUACAUAAAACUGGCAAGGGAAGUGCUAACACUAAAAACUAAAAGAAUCUGAAGAUGGUAAUUUUUUUCACCACUUUGCAGGCAGAAGCUGGCAUUGCCCCAAAAGUCUUGUCCUACUCCUUCCCAAUCGUUUUGACUAUGGGAAUAUUCCUUCUCUUAUUGAACACAGCUGCUCGUGACCUGGCCUUAUGUCAGAUGAACUCUUCUGUGUCUAAGAAGGGACAAAAAACAAGCAAAAGUGCUAACUGAAAGUGUUCAGACUCUAGCCCUAGAUCAGAUAUUCAGCCAGCUGCCUCAGUGAGGAGACCUCAAGCGCUGCAUGGAUUUUUCACCUACUUGAAGCCCUGUUGCGUUUUCAUUUGUGUAACUGAAACUGUACGAAUAGGGAACACUGUUGCUGAGAAAGGCUUCUGCUAAUAGCUCUCCUGCAUAGAUCAGCUUGCAGGACUGACUAAAAACAUUGGCAUCUUUCAUUCCCAAACAUGCACUGAGAGUCAGAACCCAAGAAUAUGGAGAACUACAUAAACAAAACAGCCUCCAAGAAAGCUGUGCAGGCAUAACUGUGAAGAAGGAGAACAGGAAGGUUGCUUGGUACCUGGAAUGUCACAAGACCAGAAAUCAUUACACUGCGGACAGCGUGGUUCAGUCUGAGCUCUGAAGUACUUUCUGACACAAGGUAAAUGCAUUCCAAUUCCA